rnacentral:tmRNA from 1 species
GGGGCUGAUUCUGGAUUCGACGGGAUUUGCGAAACCCAAGGUGCAUGCCGAGGGGCGGUUGGCCUCGUAAAAAGCCGCAAAAAAAUAGUCGCAAACGACGAAACCUACGCUUUAGCAGCUUAAUAACCUGCUUAGAGCCCUCUCUCCCUAGCCUCCGCUCUUAGGACGGGGAUCAAGAGAGGUCAAACCCAAAAGAGAUCGCGUGGAUGCCCUGCCUGGGGUUGAAGCGUUAAAACGAAUCAGGCUAGUCUGGUAGUGGCGUGUCCGUCCGCAGGUGCCAGGCGAAUGUAAAGACUGACUAAGCAUGUAGUACCGAGGAUGUAGGAAUUUCGGACGCG